CCGUGUCGCGCAUAUCUGCAUAUCAAUAAGCGGAGGAAAAGAAACUAACAAGGAUUCCCUUAGUAACGGCGAGUGAAGCGGGAAGAGCUCAAAUUUGAAAUCUUCAAGGUUCUACCUCGACGAAUUGUAGUUUAAAGAAGUGUUUUCUGUUAGAUGAGUAGCAAAAGUUCCUUGGAAUGGGACAUCAUAGAGGGUGAGAAUCCCGUAUUUGGUUAUUCAUUCUAGCUUUGUGAUACACUUUCAAAGAGUCGGAUUGUUUGGGAAUGCAGUCCAAAAUGGGUGGUAAAUUUCAUCUAAAGCUAAAUAUUGGCGAGAGACCGAUAGCGAACAAGUACCGUGAGGGAAAGAUGAAAAGAACUUUGAAAAGAGAGUUAAACAGUACGUGAAAUUGUCAAAAGGGAAGCGUUUGACACCAGUGUUGUUUUUCCGAAAAUCAAUUACGAAUGGCUUGAUUUUGUGUUGUAUUGACCUUAUCAGCUUUCUGCACUUUUUUCGAGUCUUUCUUAAUGCACUUUUCGGUUAACAAGUCAACAUCAAUUUCUUUUGUUGUAAAAGAGUAUUCGGAAGGUGGCUUUCUUUUCGGAGAAAGUGUUUAUAGCCCUAUACUUCUACAAUCGGAGAGAUUGAGGUCUGCAGCGUAGAUCCCUUCGGGGUUAGAUACACUUUGUGCUAAGUUGUAGCUUUUCAUAGACAACUUGUUGACUAUGUUUAGUCAUGCGGCUUACUCGCUUAGUGCUAUUUUACCUACGCUUAGGAUGUUGACGAUCAGCUGAGCGCG
rnacentral:rRNA from 1 species